AGGAGCCCAGUCAGAAAGAAUUCAGACCUACAAUUUUACACAGAAUAGAGUCACUGACCACAGGGUAGGAUAUGAAGUCCAAGAUAUUAAGGUUCCUGCACAGCAUCAGAUGUGUCUGACUUCUAAGGAAAAUGAGACCCCAGACACAUUGAUGGGUCAGUUCAGCAAAAACAAGAGUGGCAUUCCUGUCUGGAGAGGGUGGAGAGGAAGAGAGUCAGACACCUAUAGCACCGCGUCAUAGCCCAUGAAGCUUCUCCAGAGCAGGUGGAAGCAGGGAACGGAACCCAGGAGCCCUUCCAUCUGGAGCAGAUGACUUCAGAGACCCCAGGGCAGCUGGUCCACAAGGCCAGGCAGUAGAGAAGGAGCCAGCAGGGGAGAGGUGUCCUUGCUGAUGGGCGAGUCCCCUGGUCGGGAUUCCAGGGCAUUACCAGGAACUCCCAGGCCCUGGGAACCCUGUUGGAUGAGCAGAACUUCUCCCCCUGUAUCAGCAAGAAGCCACCUGGCAGCAAUCCCUGUUCAUGCAGAUGCGCGUGGCCCUGGUGAUACUGCGGGGCCCGUCCAUGCUGGCCCUGGGUACAACUCAGUGUCCCCCAUCUGUGCGGGUGUGUAGUAGCCUGGGUGCUGCAGUGCACCACAGUACAGCAGGACGGCCCUGCGUUGCCCCAGUUACAUCUUCAUUGCAGUGACUGGCCUCAUAAUAUGUGUCAGUAUCCCCUAGGGACACCCACUAGUCAUAUGCUGCUGGGCAUUUCAGUGUUUCUUUUCCCUUUUGCUUUUAUUAUUUUUUUUUAUAUUUUCCCUUUGGUUGCCCUUUUUUAUUGUUGUUGUAGUUAUUAGUAUUGAUGUCUUCAUUGUUACACAGGACAGAGAGAAACAGAGGAGGGGAACAGACGAUGGGGAAAGACACCUGGAGAUCUGCUUCACCGCCUGUGAAGUGACUCCCCUACAGGCAGGGAGCUGGGGGCUCGAACUGGGAUCCUUCAGCAGGUCCUUGCAUUUUGCACCACAUUGCUUAACCUGCUGUAGUA